UGGGUGAUCACACUCCAGUGUGGGCUCAGGGGCUGGGUGCCAGGGCUCGCCUCCCACCCAGAGUCCUCACUGGGCCGGGUGGGGUCGUCGCAAGGGCCGGUUCCGGUCGCAGACGCGUGGGAGGUGGCCUGAUGUCAAGGGCCCGUGCCCCAGGCAAACUCGGGCUCUCGGUCGCUCCCACGGGUCCUCCCACCGCACCACGCAGAGUGCUGGGUGCGCGUGCUUGUGAGUGCCUGUUCACGUGUUUGUGCGCAUCUGCGUGCCUCUGCGCGCGUGUGUGCAGGCGUCUGCGCACCAGUGCCUGGGUACGUCUUCAGGUGCUGGUGUGUGAGUUCGUCCAAGUGUCUGUGCAGAUGCUGGGAGAGAGGACCAGAUGUAUACAAAGGAGUGGAAUUGCUGGGCCAUGUAGAAACCAUCGUGCGUGCUUGAGGAACUGCCAGACAAUGGUAUAAUUUCGGAAGCACUGAAAUCAUUAUGAAGCUUGCACCGCAUCUGUGUGGCACUGUGCAGUGGCCUCUGGCCCGAAAGCGGGCCGGCAGAGGAGAGAAGGCGUGUCCGCCACCGCCAGGUGAUAACGCAGGGAAUCUUUUUAUGCCACUUUAUGCCAUUCGACUAUGGAAAAGCAUUUCUCAAAUUUCUUUCCCUGAUGCUCAAAUAAAAAUAGACCGAGGAACUAAAAAAGGACUAACUAUAUUUUCCCCAAAGGCAGGCACUUGCACACACCAAUUAACUCUUCUUAUUUCUUUCUCCUGCUGCCGAGAAGUAAAUAGAAACUAACAGCUGAGCACAGAUUCACACUGGGUGUAUAUUUG
rnacentral:lncRNA from 1 species